GCCUCCGUAGUGCAACGGUAAGCGCGCCCCUUUGAAAAGGAGGGGACGCAGGUGCAUUUCCCGCCGAAGGUU